AUUGAACGCUGGCGGCAGGCCUAACACAUGCAAGUCGAGCGGAUGAAGGGAGCUUGCUCCUGGAUUCCGCGGCGGACGGGUGAGUAAUGCCUAGGAAUCUGCCUGGUAGUGGGGGAUAACGUCCGGAAACGGGCGCUAAUACCGCCUACGUCCUGAGGGAGAAAGUGGGGGAUCUUCGGACAUCACGCUAUCUGAUGAGCCUAGGUCGGAUUAGCUAGUUGGUGGGGUAAAGGCCUACCUAGGCGACGAUUCGUAACUGGUCUGUGAGGAUGAUCAGUCACAUUAGAGGGGGAACAGGGUCCUGACGCCUGCGAUAGGGAGCAGUGGGGAAUGGGAGGCAGCGGUGGAGAGCCUUGUCCAGCCGUGCCGCGCGUGAGGAGAAGAUGCUCGGAGUGGAAAGCACUUUGAGGUGUGGGGAAGGGCAGUAAGUUAAGACCAUGCGGGAGUGACGGUACCGGGAGAAGAAGCACCGGCUAACUACGUG
rnacentral:rRNA from 1 species